AUUGAACGCUGGCGGCAUGCCUUACACAUGCCAGUCGAACGGCAGCACGGGUGCUUGCACCUGGUGGCGAGUGGCGAACGGGUGAGUAAUACAUCGGAACAUGUCCUGUAGUGGGGGAUAGCCCGGCGAAAGCCGAAUUAAUACCGCAUACGAUCUACGGAUGAAAGCGGGGGACCUUCGGGCCUCGCGCUAUAGGGUUGGCCGAUAGCUGAUUAGCUAGUUGGUGGGGUAAAGGCCUACCAAGGCGACGAUCAGUAGCUGGUCUGAGAGGACGACCAGCCACACUGGGACUGAGACACGGCCCAGACUCCUACGGGAGGCAGCAGUGGGGAAUUUUGGACAAUGGGCGAAAGCCUGAUCCAGCAAUGCCGCGUGUGUGAAGAAGGCCUUCGGGUUGUAAAGCACUUUUGUCCGGAAAGAAAUCCUUGGCUCUAAUACAGUCGGGGGAUGACGGUACCGGAAGAAUAAGCACCGGCUAACUACGUG
rnacentral:rRNA from 1 species